GCCUGGCUAGCUCAAUCAGUAAAGCAUCAGACUUUUAAUCUGAGGGCCCAAAGUUCAAUUCCCUGAUUAGGCG
rnacentral:tRNA from 1 species